UUGAUGAGCAUUUGUGUCCGUGUUUAUGAAAACGUGAUUAAUACACAUUUCUGAAA
rnacentral:snoRNA from 14 species